rnacentral:piRNA from 1 species
UCCUGAUGUAAAAAUGACGUCGUUGCCUU